rnacentral:rRNA from 1 species
CCAAUAGCGUAUAUUAAAGUUGUUGCAGUUAAAAAGCUCGUAGUUGAAUUUCGGGAUCAAUAUGUUGGUCGUGCCUCGGUACGUACUAGCUUAUUGGUUUCUCCUUUCUGAAGAACCAUGAUGUCAUUUAUUUGGUGUCGUGUGGAAUCAGGACUGUUACUUUGAAAAAAUUAGAGUGUUUAAAGCAGGCUCACGCUUGA